AUGUUGAUCUGAUUCCCUCU
rnacentral:miRNA from 1 species